rnacentral:ncRNA from 1 species
UCGUCACAACGGCUUCCUGGCGUGAUGGCAAAGACCUCAACGGAGCA